AACGAACGCUGGCGGCAUGCCUAACACAUGCAAGUCGAACGAGACCUUCGGGUCUAGUGGCGCACGGGUGCGUAACGCGUGGGAACCUGCCCUUAGGUUCGGAAUAACUCCCCGAAAGGGGUGCUAAUACCGGAUAAUGUCUUCGGACCAAAGAUUUAUCGCCUUUGGAUGGGCCCGCGUUGGAUUAGCUAGUUGGUAGGGUAAAAGCCUACCAAGGCGACGAUCCAUAGCUGGUCUGAGAGGAAGAUCAGCCACACUGGGACUGAGACACGGCCCAGACUCCUACGGGAGGCAGCAGUGGAGAAUAUUGGACAAUGGGCGAAAGCCUGAUCCAGCAAUGCCGCGUGAGUGAUGAAGGCCUUAGGGUUGUAAAGCUCUUUUACCCGGGAUGAUAAUGACAGUACCGGGAGAAUAAGCGCCGGCUAACUCCGUG
rnacentral:rRNA from 1 species